UUCAAAUCAAUGUAGUAUGCAAUCAAUGCAUGGUUCACUUCAAGCAAUGCACCAAAUCUUUAACCUCAUUAAUUUUCCAAUCGAAAUAAAUAUCACAUAAUACAAUUGAGGCACAUCAAGCUCGGCACAAAGGAAUAGACCAAAAGAACCACUUAAUAGAUCAGGAUUAGAGCAAGUCAUGUACAUAGAAAGUGAUGCAUUCCGCAGAUUGAAAGCCAUUCAACCCAAAAUGUGGUAGCAUUUGAAAACACAAACUUUUGGAAGCAGAUGAUGAUGCUAAGCCCCAUACCAUGAUAGGGAACGUGGUUCUGAUGCUGAUGCACAUUAUAGCAAAAGUAGCCACUGCAGAGGUAGUAGACAAAAAAUAGCUAUUGCUUGGCCAGUCGAAAACGUAACCAGCCAACCAGGCUGCUCCUGAAGAAAAACACCUAAACCAUAUGAUACGUCAGUCGAUAUCACACAUUGAGAUAAUUUUAAAAGUACUCUAAUUUUAAUAGAAAGUAUAGUUCAGCAACUCAAUACACAUAUCUAAGUUCGGAUUGUUCAAUGGACACUCAUAUUGUACUUUUUAUAUCGGUCCAAAUGAAACAUCUGUACAUAAUUGCAAUUACAUUAUAUCAACCUAAGACAAGAAUUCAAACGGCAUUGCAGAGAUCCCUAUUCCUCGAGAGUGCAUCGAUAUAAACCAUAUAACCAAGACCAUUUUGUUUUCGAAGAGUUAUAUAGAGAAGAAAAUGGUUACCCUGUUACAAUCCAUCAUCUCAUCAUGGAACAAAAAAUAAAACGAAUUAAAUGCCUACACUGGAUAGUAUGCACAUUGGCUAUACCAAAUCAUUAAAGACUAAUUUUUCUGCAACGAUGAAUAAGAAAAACAGUACACCGGUGUUAGAAAACAGAACAGAGUCGUUGACGGAGAAAAUCAAGUGUUACAUAAUAAUUGAGUACUCCCUUUGUAAGCUAAUAUAAAGUCUUUUAGAUCACUAAGGUAAUGAUUUAAAUGAUCUUAUAUUAGUUUAGAGAGGGAGUAAUUGUUAAGAAGUUUCGGGUUUUUUAAUCACACAAAUACCUUCAUAAAUUGUGCUCCACCAAAAUACUCUUCUUGCUUCAGGAGAUUAAAAAUAGGAUUAAUAUUACACUAAACAACACAUGUGACAAUAAGGGCCUGUGUUAACGAACGAACACUGAUGCUAUAAAGAUGUGACAGUGAAUAUGUGUUUUAGCAACAAAAAAGGUGACAUUAUUUAUGGAAACAGUUAUCUGCAUACCAUUCCCUAUUUUUAGACAGAGCACCUUUCUAAAUGCACCCAGAAGACUACCUAGACCAAACUCUAUGAACAACCUAGACACAUGACUAUCGGAUAUGUUGCCAAAUGCAAAACAAAUAAUUCCACUAUCGGCAACAUUUAUUUUUCACCUAAUUCAGCAGAGCGCAACACGUAUAUUGCUCAACCAUCUAUGUCACUGCAUCUGACCUCCACUUGAAUAAUUACUACUGGAAACAAAAAUACACAAAAUAGGCACAUAAAUCGUAACCACCGGAAGUAGGCACAGAGGUUGUGCAUGAACAAAAAGACAAUCUACCUAUCAACGCGUAACCACCAGUAGCUACUCACAUGAAAACCAGCACCUGCAAAACAAUAAGCAGAUAAACAACACAUUAUCAAUCAGGUGAAGGCGGAGCAAAGAAAAACAAAAGAAAGAAGAGUAAGAAAAAUAACUUGGGGAAACAAAAUCCAGAAAAUGAACAAAACUCCACUUUGUCAUGUGAGUUGUAGAAAAAAACAGAAUAUAACUCCACUUUGUUGUAGGUCCACAACCCAAAACAAUCGGGUAACCACAAUAGGAUCAACUAAGCAUGCCAACCACUAUAUUUACAUAAUAAGAUGAACUCGACGUGGCACCAGGCGCUCCAACUGCGUCAACAACUAUAAUUUCCUAAUGGCAUGCAUAUAUGUAUUGUAGUUAGUUGCACCCGGAAGCCUGUGAGUUUACACAGCAACAACUCGUAGGGAAUAGCAAGUAUAGCCUCAUGUGCCGCUAAAAUAAUCAGGGCCACCACUACUUUAACAAUAAAAUCUUCUAGUGGUGGAACCGGAAUUUCACCCAAAGCCUCACACUUUUAACAAAAAUUAAACCAACCAUGUGUAUGUAACCAUAUGGUAUAUUCUACAGCCGAAACAAAACAAAAUAGUCUAAGCAUCAAGUUAUAUCAUGACGAAAUCAGUAUGUAAAUUAGCACGACGAAACCAGUAUGUAAAUUAGCACUAUAGCUGAUGAGACAAACAACAAAUUAUGCAUCCCAUUGAGCAAUACUAUGCAUAAUUCAUUUUAAAAGACUAUCAGUUCUAAUUUCUAUAAGAUCUCAAAUCUUUGGAGGUAAGUCUCUUCAAAUCCGAGCACAACAUCUUACCAUCCAAGAAAACUGAAACAGGAAUGGAAGACUCUAGAUCUGAUACUCCAAAAGUGGAAGAAAACCUCGAUCAAUCUUCUCACCUCAGCUUAGCCGGAGCCACCUGGUAAGUGGCCAAAACCCGGCAAGCGAACAAUUCCCGACGGCUCCCACGGCGGAAGAGCUCGCCUUCCUUCCACAAAGCGUCUACCUCACGGACGGGGCAGGGGCGAGGUGAUGCUCACGAACGAGGCAGUGGCGCGGGCAGCGCCGUCGUGGCUCACAUAGGCAGAACCCCCGUGCUACCUAGAGGAGAAGUGGCAGAUGUGACGCGCUAGCUUGACGGACGCGGCGGCAGUGGGCAACAAUUGUAGUACAAAAAAAGUCAGCUUUGUUUAAGGUAGUAACUGCCACGGUCGAAAAUAUGAGGAUUUGGUUCUCAUAACCCGACCAUUUAUACACAAUCAAACAAAAUCUAGAAGGACCAUCUAGCCAAACCAUAAAAAGUAUAUAAUCGCCUGAAAUCAAAUUUCCAUUGAAGCAUUCAGUUCAAUGAUAAACCAUGUCAUAUUGAUUCAGGCCUUGUAGGCAUAUGGAAGGACCAAACAAGGAUAUCUCACAAUUUAGCCCUCCCUCAGUGUGAGCCUCUCGUGCAUAUGCAGUUUUGGAAUAAAGAAACUUAGACAAAUGUCAGCAUGAGCUGACAGGACGGUAAAUACGUAGCGAACUGUCGGCAUGAGCUGACAGGAACAUAAAUAUGUCUACAGAGACAUAAAAUCAAAUGGAUUCAAGAAUAUAAGCACAUCUAUAGAUACACAAAAUCAAAUGAACUUCAAUAGCUUAAAUGAAUCACAGCUAUUAAUUUUGCUGAUCGUAAAUGUAAAAUAUAAGAACUGUACAUGUAUUUUAGUAAGCAGAGGGGAAGCAACCAAGGGCAGGAGGCCAUCUACCCCUAUCUGAUUGUGCAAAUAUAAUUAACACUGACAUGCACCGCGGACAUGUGAUGGCGAGCAAAUAUAGGCACAGCAGGCAAUCAUAAGCAUAACUAAACCCAGAGAAAAAUGAACUGGAUCUGGAAGAGAGAAAGAUACCUCUGGGAGCGGUGCAGUACGUGCAGGAUGUCAUGGUCAGCUUCAUUGAAGAAGAAAACAGAUUGAAGACCUAGGAAAGGAUAGAAUAGUCAGGCAAAAGAGAAAGGGUCUAAGGAGAGAUCAACCGCGAUCGAAUAAGCGGCGCAGGGAGAAAGGCAAGAGAAGAAGAGCUCACCGAAGAAGGUAUAGUGUUU
rnacentral:lncRNA from 1 species